AGAGACUUAGGUUAACAUAAACCGAAGGCCUUCAAAGCCUUAAACAAGAGUUUACCCUCUUAGUUUCUG
rnacentral:tRNA from 1 species